GAUGAACGCUGGCGGCGUGCCUAACACAUGCAAGUCGAGCGAAUGAAGUUCCUUCGGGAACGGAUUUAGCGGCGGACGGGUGAGUAACACGUGGGCAACCUGCCUCAUAGAGGGGAAUAGCCUUCCGAAAGGAGAUUAAUACCGCAUAAGAUUGUAGUACCGCAUGGUAAAGCAAUUAAAGGAGCAAUCCGCUAUGAGAUGGGCCCGCGGCGCAUUAGCUAGUUGGUGAGGUAACGGCUAACCAAGGCGACGAUGCGUAGCCGUCCUGAGAGGGUGAUCGGCCACAUUGGGACUGAGACACGGCCCAGACUCCUACGGGAGGCAGCAGUGGGGAAUAUUGCACAAUGGGGGAAACCCUGAUGCAGCAACGCCGCGUGAGUGAUGACGGCCUUCGGGUUGUAAAGCUCUGUCUUCAGGGACGAUAAUGACGGUACCUGAGGAGGAAGCCACGGCUAACUACGUGCCAGCCGCCGCAGUAA
rnacentral:rRNA from 1 species